CAAUCCACUGCGUGUCCAAGUGGUUCCUCUGUUUGCUCAAGGAACUAUGUCGAAUAACUGCGCCGUUUAUAGUUGCGCAUAUGCCUACGAUUCCAUGAUAAAUCCGGAAAUUCCAUUGGAAGGUAGAAAUUACGGCGCGGAAAAAGAAUUCCGUCAGUGGCUGCGCAAUGUCAUCACGUCAGAAAAGUUAUCCGAACCUCCAUCUGAAGCUGGUCGAACAAACAAAACUACAACCGCUCCGGCGGAGCCAGUGUUCACACUAACCUCAGCGUAUGUGGAGGAUCUUCGAGUUGCCCGAAAGGUGCCUGUCGUCGAUGUCCUUUGUGAAAAGAGUGGCAGGCCAGAGUGAAGAAAAACAGCUCACCGUGAAGAGCGUAAACAACUGGAGCCGGGAUGCCGUUCUGAUUUGUUUGGUCUUUUUGGAGUUUAAUUUAUCACAUCUUUAGUUUGCUAUUACUUAAACUGAGAGCAAAUGGAGUUCGGUUUCGAAAUGGAGUUCACUGCGGUCACCUCCACUACCGCUUCCUGCCCAAAGUGGAAGACGACCUGGUCAACUCCCUCAAGUUCCGCAAAGGGAUGACGCGCAACUUCUCCAACGGCGCCCCUACCGCUCUCUUUCAACUGCUUUUCUGGCGCUGUCUCCUUUCCGCCAUACAGAUACUUGCAAUUUUAAUCUCUCGAAAAUUAAUAUU